CUACGGGUGGCAGCAGUAAGGAAUAUUGGUCAAUGGACGCAAGUCUGAACCAGCCAUGCCGCGUGAAGGAUUAAGGUCCUCUGGAUUGUAAACUUCUUUUAUUUGGGACGAAAAAGGGUCUUUCUAGAUCAACUGACGGUACCAGAUGAAUAAGCACCGGCUAACUCCGUGCCAGCAGCCGCGGUAAUACGGAGGGUGCAAGCGUUAUCCGGAUUCACUGGGUUUAAAGGGUGCGUAGGCGGGUAGGUAAGUCAGUGGUGAAAUCCUAGAGCUUAACUCUAGAACUGCCAUUGAUACUAUCUAUCUUGAAUAUUGUGGAGGUAAGCGGAAUAUGUCAUGUAGCGGUGAAAUGCUUAGAUAUGACAUAGAACACCUAUUGCGAAGGCAGCUUACUACGCAUAUAUUGACGCUGAGGCACGAAAGCGUGGGGAUCAAACAGGAUUAGAUACCCGAGUAGUC
rnacentral:rRNA from 1 species